rnacentral:tRNA from 1 species
UGGGUUGUAGCUCAGUGGUAGAACACUUGCCUAGCAUGUGUGAGGCCCUGGGUUCAAUCCUCAGCACCACAU